GGCUCGGUAGCUUAGUUGGUAAAGCACUUGUCCAGUGAAUAAGGGUCGUGAGUUCAAAUCUCAUCUGAGCGG
rnacentral:tRNA from 1 species